rnacentral:miRNA from 1 species
AGUUGCGAGAGGAAGUUUC